rnacentral:rRNA from 1 species
GAUGAACGCUGGCGGCGUGCCUAACACAUGCAAGUCGAACGUGAGAGAGUAGCAAUAUUCUUGAAAGUGGCGCACGGGUGAGUAAUACGUAGGUGACCUGCCCUGGAGUGGGGGAUAACAGCUAGAAAUGGCUGCUAAUACCGCAUAACACCAAAUUGCUGGGAAGUGAAUUGGUAAAAACUCUGGUGCUUCAGGAGGGGCCUGCGGCCGAUUAGCUAGUUGGCGGGGUAAGAGCCCACCAAGGCAGUGACCGGUAGCUGGUCUGAGAGGAUGAUCAGCCACACUGGGACUGAGACACGGCCCAGACUCCUACGGGAGGCAGCAGUGGGGAAUAUUGGACAAUGGGCGCAAGCCUGAUCCAGCAAUGCCGCGUGUGUGAAGAAGGCCUGCGGGUUGUAAAGCACUUUCAGUGGGGAAGAACGGAUACGGGCCAAUACCCGCAUCACUGACGUUACCCACAGAAGAAGCACCGGCUAACUCCGUGCCAGCAG